GCCGGGUGGCUCAGUCGGUUGGGCGUCUGACUUCAGCUCAGGUCAUGAUCUCAGGUCUGUGGGUUUGAGCCCCGCCUCGGGCU
rnacentral:tRNA from 1 species